GAUGAUGCUGUCAGUGGCCGAAGCUGCAUUCUGGCAACUCCAGAUCCUGGGUGACUUUGCCUAGCUCUGCCCGGCCUGGUGUUGCAGGAAAUACGCUAAUUCCAGGCACGGAAGCUGGGAGUGCAUCCGGUCUGGGGAGACUUUGCCUUUCUAAGAGGCUCUCAGUGCUGUUGAUGGUGCACAUUCGACCUUUGAGACUUGGAGAAAUCAGAUUGCAGAAAUGAUGCAGAGCACCUGAGCAGAACCAAUCUGGCGUGAGACACACACGCACACACACACACAAUCAGGCGCACCCACCCACACAUAUACACACACAGGUACACAGUCGUGCACCCAUCCACAUACGUGCAGUCAUGCACACAGCCCUGCACACAGACCUACACAUACACAUGCGUGCACACAGACAUGCACACACACAGUAGGGGCCCUAAGCAGGCGUCCUUAGCCUUUCUGCUCUGAGCUCUGCAGCAUCAGAACCUGCUGCCAUAACUGAGCCAAGUGAACUCCUGAAGCAGGAGCAUCCCCGGGCGUGGCAGGGGAGCGCCCACCACCAAGAUUCUGCUGCUGUGCUCGGGGGCAGUUGUGCCUUUUCUGUUUUUCUUUCUUUCUAUAUUUCCAGGAAAUCAUGACAUUAAAAAUGACUUUUUCUUAUGACGAAUAUUCAUUGUAGGAUAUUUAGUGAAAAUUCACACAAUAAAAACUGUGAUUCGUUUGUGCUCUCCGAGUUUCUGGGUUUCCUUGCAUUUUUCUGGCAGCUUCUAUUCUCUCUGGGUGCUUCCGAUGCACACAUCGCAGAUCCCAGGAUGAUCUUCCUGCCUGGCACGGCUGCCUCCUCCACGCCACCCCUCAUUACCUGUGGUCUAGGAAGACCACCAGUUCCCAUUCCAAGCUGCCCAAAUAGCUGCGAAAUAUCUGCUGAAGUAAGAGGAAAAGGAGAGGCUCUUCCUUCUUCCUUUGAAUUUUGUCACCGGGCUGCUGAAGAGAAGGCAGCAGAGGUGACACAGCGUGAAGCUGAGGCUGGGUUGCAGAAGGUGCCACAGACUCCACCCGGCUCUCUCUCUUGCCCAACGUUCCUGGGAGUCCAGCCCCCAUGUCAUGAGGAAGCCCACGUCACCUGGAGAGGUUACAGGCACAGCCACAGUCAGCCACGCGCCAGUCCUGGGAGCCACCCUAGCUCACCCUGAGUGGAGCAGAGGCAGGGUGUCCACUCCUGGCCUUGCCCA
rnacentral:lncRNA from 1 species